UUGCAUGUUUAUUUUUCCGUAUUGCAUUGCUUGAUUGCUUGUUUGUUUGUUAAGCGUGGGUUGGGAGGGAUUAGUUGUUGUUUUUGGGAACUCGCUGAGUAAUCUAUGAUUACUCACUCCCUCUCUUCUAUGCAGGUAACCUUAGGGGAUCGGGCGUUAGCGGGGUGCGGAGGACGAGGCCAGGCGUAGAUUUCCGGUGUUGUUUGCAAGGCGCGAGAUGCUGCUGUUUUCACUUGUUUUGCUUUUCAUGGGUACCCGUUUGACUUGAUGUUUUUAUCUUUGUUUUGUAUUUGAAAACUUUAGUCGAGUUCCCGACUUUGUAAAAUUAAUAAAAUUAUGUUGGUUUAUUAAAAUCCCCGUUGAACGCUGAUAUUUAGUUUAGUCCGAACUUAACACAACUCUUGACCGAAGUACGGGUUGGCAAGCCUUAGGCUGAGGUCGAGAGGGGCGAUAUCGUGGUCGGACUGGUCGAGACUUUGAAUUUGUUUGAAGUUUUGACUGGUCUGGUUGCGGUACUCGCCACCCCUGUGACGCUUCCGGGACGUUCUGGGUUUAGUCCGUCCUAGGACGGUCCGGGGGUGUUACAGUCGGGGGCAUUCAUAUUUCAUAGUCAGAGGUGAAAUUCUUGGAUUUAUGAAAGACGAACAAAUGCGAAAGCAUUUGCCAAGGAUGUUUUCAUUAAUCAAGAACGAAAGUUGGGGGCUCGAAGACGAUCAGAUACCGUCCUAGUCUCAACCAUAACUGAUGCCGACCAGGGAUCAGCGGAUGUUUCUUUUAGGACUCCGCUGCACCUUAUGAGAAAUCGAAGUUUUUGGGUUCGCGGGGGAGUAUGGUCGCAAGGCUGAAACUUAAAGAAAUUGACGGAAAUGCACCACCAGGAGUGGAGCCUGCGGCUUAAUUUGAGUCAACACGGGGAAACUUACCAGGUCCAGAUAUAGUAAGGAUUGACACACUGAGAGCUCUUUCUUGAUUCUAUGGGUGCUGGUGCAUGGUCGUUCUUAGUUGGUGGAGCGAUUUGUCUGGUUAAUUCCGUUAACGAACGAGACCUCAGCCUGCUAACUAGCUACGUGGAGGCAUCCCUUCACGGCCGGCUUCUUAGAGGGAAUAUGGCCGUUUAGGCCAAGGAAGUUUGAGGCAAUAAUAGGUCUGUGAUGCCCUUAGAUGUUCUCUGCCGCACACGCGCUACACUGAUGUAUUCAAUGAGUUCACAUCUUGGCUGACAGGCCCGGGUAAUCUUUGAAAUUUUAUCGUGAUGGGGAUAGAUCAUUACAAUUGUUGGUAUUCAACGGGAAUUUCUAAGAAGCGCGAGUCAUAAGCUAGCGUUGAGUACGUCCCUGCCCUUUUGUACACACCGCCCGUCGCUCCUACCGAUUGAAUGAUCCGGUGAAGUGUUCGCAUCGCGGCGACGUGGGUGGUUCGCCGUCUGGGACGUCACGAGAAGUCCACUAAACCUUAUCAUUUAGAGGAAGGGGAAGUCGUAACAAGGUUUCCUUAGGUGAACCUGCGGAAG
rnacentral:rRNA from 1 species